GCGGGUAUGGCGGAAUCGGAAGACGCGCCGGAUUUAGGAUCCGGUGGGCAACCGUACAGGUUCGACCCCUGUUACCCGCACCA
rnacentral:tRNA from 1 species